UCGUCGCAACGCCGUACACCCCACCUACAUCCCCUACCGAUUUAGGGUUAGUGCAGUGCUGGUGGGAAGCGCCGCCACCACUUCGCCCACUACUCUCUGCCAUCACCGGCCACCGUCACCAUGGCCUGCACCGGUGGCUCCUCGAGCCACAAGCAGAAGGCCUAGCGUGGAGCAUCAUUCACAGGGAUCACGGGUGGUACUGCUUACUAAUGAGGCCAAGAAGCUCAGCUUAAGCUGUGCCGAUGUGUAGGCUGCAUUAUUGUCCUUGCUUUCCAGGUGUUCAACUGCAGUCAGUUUUGGCUGAUGCUCCUGCUACAGGGUGAGGUACAUACUGGCCUCUGUGCUGCCCGUACCUGUUGGAUUCCUCUCUGUUAUUCACACAACAUAUUUUCAUCACUAUUAGGGAUUUGAAUCUGUGCUUCUCAAGAUUUUACUGUGUUUAUUUACAUGCACUGGAGUGAGUAUCACGGCCAAUGUGGAUAGCAUUGUCACUCAUGGGUGGUGGAGAACCGGAGAAGGAAAUGCAGUGUCUUGCCAUCCUGCAACAGUUGCGACUUGUAGACAUCCUUGUCAUGAAGGCAUGUUUCUCGUGCUCCAUUCUUGACGGUGACAGGGAGGUAGCGGGCAUCCAAGACACUCAAAAGCCCGGAGAGAGAACGCAAUGCCAUGGCCAGCACAAAAGGCAGGCGAUGAAGAAAAGUGUAGUGUAUGGUGGUGAUAAGCUAACCCUACAAGGAGCACUCCCAAGAUCGGAUCCAGUCCACCACCAGGCUUGAUCAAACAUGUGUUGUUGCAACUCUGGUCAUGUUGCUGCAUCAUUCAUGGCGGGUUUAGCGGCUGGAGUGUAGAUCUAAGUUCAUUCCAAACGAAAACCGAAGAGCAUGAAUACGGCUGCCUAGUUGCUGCCGUGCUGCCCUUUUAAUAAUGGAGAUGCCAGAUCCCUGGCCUGUGCUCACUUUUACUACUACGCACUACUACAUGAUGUGCAUGUCCCUUUCCAGGAAAGCUGAGAUGAUUGAUCGGGGUUUGCUUGUCCUGGGGAUAAGGAUUCAUGAUUUUCUGGGUCAACACGUAAAAGUGUGAAAUCCUUGGUAGCAACUUUUAUGUUUCACUUUGAAAUUCUCAUGUUUCAGACCUCUUUGAGCAUCCAUCCACUGGUUAUCUGAUCUGCAGAACACCAUAUUGAUUGGGUAGACGCGUAGUACGCGGUGCAGCUCGCCAGCAUGGAGCUGACUCACUCUUUUGUCCUGCUGCAGCCAUGAUCUUCUCUGGAGCACUUCUACUGUAUGUGGUUACGGUCUGAACAGAGUCUUCUUUUUUCGUGCUUCGAGUAUGCAAAAAAUGUCAGAUUUGUCAAUUCUGGCGGUCUUGUUGCAAAAUAAAUGCAUUUUUGUAUUGCUGUGAACACCCACGACGGGGUGUGCUCAUUGGUAAUACAAUCUUGUGAAUUUAACUGCUCGUACGUCCUACACAUUGCUCUCCUACACGACGGGGUGUGCUCUUCAUGUUCUCUGUGGCUGGAUUGGAUCUCGCAUUCAAUGAACUCUGAAUUUUCUGCGGAAGGCGUGUAUUAAAUGGAGAUGGCCGUGAGAAGUGGCUGAGCAACUGAAGACUGACAGACAGAUACAGAUCGGGAUGCGCACCGGAUCGGGAUCCCAGUGCGAUCUCGCGGGGAAUGAAACUCUGCAUCCGGAUUCCAGCGAUCGAGGUUCGCUCCAUCUGGACCGUCCAUCUAAUUCUCUUGAUCGGAUGUGCGGAGGCUAGCAUGAUAAAGCUCUGCUGGGAACCUCCUCUUAAUUCCCUUGUCUCUGUAGCUCCGCAUGUUAGUACGGGUGAUUUGACAGGAACUCACAUGGUCCGGCCGCAGAGAUCUUGUGAUCCUCCUGUCACUCAGUUCAGUCAGUUGGCUUCACUCCAGUUUGUGGGCGAGAAGCCUCGAAUCAUAGGAUUUUUUUUUCAGUUUUCUUCUUUAUGGAAUGAUUAUAAAAUUCUACGACUGCUAUGUUUUUGGCGCUGGCGCGUCGGGUAAAUGGUGUUUCCAUAAGCA